AUACGGAGGGUCCGAGCGUUAAUCGGAAUUACUGGGCGUAAAGCGCGCGUAGGUGGUUCAGUCAGUCAGAUGUGAAAGCCCCGGGCUCAACCUGGGAACUGCACCUGAUACUGCUGAGCUAGAGUACGGUAGAGGGCAGUGGAAUUUCCGGUGUAGCGGUGAAAUGCGUAGAGAUCGGAAGGAACACCAGUGGCGAAGGCGACUGCCGGGACUGAUACUGACACUGGGGUGGGAAAGCGUGGGUAGCAAACAGGAUUAGAUACCCUGGUAGUCCACGCCGUAAACGAUGUCAACUAGCCGUUGGGGGACUUGAUCCUUUAGUGGCGAAGCUAACGCGAUAAUUUGACCGCCUGGGGAGUACGGCCGCAAGGUUAAAACUCAAAUGAAUUGGCGGGG
rnacentral:rRNA from 1 species